CUGAAAAGAAAGCAGCCUGGACUCUGCAUCACAAAAAUAUACAGGGGUUGAUUGGUUAGCACAAGAGUGAAAGUGCUACAGUAGUUGUCUAUCCUUUUACCAGAAGAUGGAUACUGGACAGAUUUAUCCAUGGAUCAAAGGGAAAGCAGGUCAAAUUGACAUUUCAAGAAAAAAUAAAGAUAGCAAUAGGAAUUGGUCAAGGUAUUCGAUACAUGCACGAAGGAUGUCCUCGGGGCCCUAUUGUUCAUGGUGACUUGCGGCCAUGCAAUAUUUUCCUGAAUUUUGACUUAGAGCCACUGAUCUUUGGAUUUGGGAAAUCUACAUGGCUGCAGCUAAAACAAGCCUUACCAAUUUCUAGUAACAACAU